CAUCUGGCAGUGUCAUCCGGAGAGGCAUGGUUACAGGAGGAGAGAGAGGGAAUUACUGCAGAGGAAAACGGAACCCUAAACAGCCGGGCAGCCAGCUCCCGCUCAGAGGUGCGAGUCGGUGCGCCAGCGAUUGCCGUUAAUCGGUUACUGGGUCCUCGCUGGUCUUCCGCUCUCCUGCUCUGUAAUUCAAACUAAGUUAACGUCCUCGCUCGGAACGAUGCUGUCCCUCGCUGAGGCACAUGCAGCGCUGACUGUACUCCUGGGAAAGAGGACGCGUUUCUGAGAGAUGUCGGAGUAAACGACCCUCCCCCGUUGAAGAGGCCGCAGAUCAGAGGGGAAUCCUCCAAGGCUUCAGAUGUCCCGCCAAGAAUAACCUUGCCCUGAAUCUCCUAGGCCCAUCAGCCUUGAGGCCACGUCCACCUGGUGUGGCAGCCUGAGCGGGAGAUCGCGCUCACAGCAUCGUGGAAGUGCUUCAUGGGUGGCGGACUGCGAGCCAGGUUCACCCUCUCCGUGCGAUAGACUCAGAUCCAUUCACAAAGCACCGCAAAGAAAACUCAGCAAGUCUUCAUUCAAACUCCAAGCCCCCAACCUACAAACUUCCAUCACCACUUAUCUUUGUACCUUAGCGAAUUCAUACUGGGCCUCUUUAGUGGUGGUGGGGUUGGGUGGGAGAUCUAGGAGUGAAAUUUAAUAAAGAAGCUUUACUUGCAAUUUGCACAAGUCUGAGUUCAGAUACACUGGAACGCGUCUUCUUGCACAUCCCACCCUGCUCUCCCGGGAGACACAUAUACAACUGAGAGUGAAGUUUAGGGUCUGAGUGCAGUGCGAUGCCACUUAUCUGGCAACCCUGGAGCAUUUCAGAAGGUUAAGGGUCUUGCUCAAGGGCCUGACAGAGACAUGACUAUCCUGUGGCGUACAAGGGCUUGAGGCCCAACCCCCUGAGCCACACAAGGUCCCCUCCAUGCUUUUAACGGAGUGCUGUGAGUGGGGAUGAUUUCACAUCUAAUACUAAAAGAAGCAGCAGAGUGAGAUGUAUUGCAGGUUGCCUGACGCUGAGCUAAAUGCAGCCUACCGUUGAUGUCACACCUGUGAUCUCCAUCUAUACCCAUCGUGGUGUAAUGCAAGCAAGCAGCCUCAUGGCUCAAAGGCUCACAGCUUUGGGUCUUAGCUUGCCAAAGACUAGAAACUACUAGAGAGUUUCUCCACUGCCACCAUACCUCUUAUUUUUAUUGGAUGGGGGGGCAUCCAACAACU